GACGAACGCUGGCGGCGUGCUUAACACAUGCAAGUCGAACGGAAAGGCCCUGCUUUUGUGGGGUUCUCGUUUGGCGAACGGGUGAGUAACACGUGAGUAUCCUGCCCUUGACUUUGGGAUAACUUCAGGAAACUGGGGCUAAUACCGGGUAGGAUCUCCUGCUCCAUGUGGUUGGUUGGAAAGUUUCGGCGGUUGGGUAUGGACUCGCGGCUUAUCAGCUGGUUGGUGUGGUAGUGGCGUACCAAGGGUUUGACGGGUCGGCGGCCUGCGAGGGUUGACGGCCACCUUGGGACUGAGAUAGGGACCAGACUGCUACGGGAGGCAGCAGUGGGGAAUAUUGCAGAAUGGGCGGAAGCCUGAUGCAGAAACGCCGCGUGCGGGAUGACGGCCUUUGGGUUGUAAACAGCUUUCGACUGUGACGAAGCGUGAGUGACGGUAAUGGGUAAAGAAGCAACGGCUAACUACGUG
rnacentral:rRNA from 1 species